rnacentral:rRNA from 1 species
GUAAGAUCCCUUGAAGAUGACAAGGUAGAUAGGUCUGAGGUGGAAGCACGGUGACGUGUGGAGCUGACAGAUACUAAUCGAUCGAGGACUUAACCA